rnacentral:tRNA from 1 species
GUUUUAGUAGUUUAAUAAAAACAUUGAAUUGUGGUUUCAAAAAUAUUUUCUGAAUCUAAGACA